AACAAGGCCUUUUUCAGGGCCACAAAAAAUACCGUGCUAACAAUUU
rfam:Cariama cristata contig25706, whole genome shotgun sequence.